UACGGAGGGGGCUAGCGUUGUUCGGAAUUACUGGGCGUAAAGCGCACGUAGGCGGAUACUUAAGUCAGGGGGUGAAAUCCCGGGGCUCAACCCCGGAACUGCCUUUGAUACUGGGUAUCUCGAGUCCGGAAGAGGUGAGUGGAAUUCCGAGUGUAGAGGUGAAAUUCGUAGAUAUUCGGAGGAACACCAGUGGCGAAGGCGGCUCACUGGUCCGGUACUGACGCUGAGGUGCGAAAGCGUGGGGAGCAAACAGG
rnacentral:rRNA from 1 species